CCUACGGGAGGCAGCAGUGGGGAAUAUUGCACAAUGGGGGAAACCCUGAUGCAGCGACGCCGCGUGAGUGAAGAAGUAAUGCGGGAUGUAAAGCUCGAGCAGCAGGGAAGAAAAUGACGGUACCUGAGUAAGAAGCCCCGGCUAACUACGUGCCAGCAGCCGCGGUAAUACGGAGGGGGCAAGCGUUAUCCGGAUUUACUGGGUGUAAAGGGAGCGUAGACGGCAGUGCAAGUCUGGAGUGAAAGGCGGGGGCUCAACCCCCGGACGGCUCUGGAAACGGUACGGCUGGAGUGCAGGAGAGGUCAGUGGAAUUCCUCGUGUAGCGGUGACCUGCGUCGAUAUUAGGAGG
rnacentral:rRNA from 1 species